rnacentral:rRNA from 1 species
GACGAACGCUGGCGGCGUGCCUAAUACAUGCAAGUCGAGCGAGCGGAACCAACAGAUUUACUUCGGUAAUGACGUUGGGAAAGCGAGCGGCGGAUGGGUGAGUAACACGUGGGGAACCUGCCUUGUACCGGGGGGAUAGCAGUUGGAAACGACUGAUAAUACCGCAUAAGCGCACAGUAUCACAUGAUACAGUGUGAAAAACUCCGGUGGUACAAGAUGGGUCCCCGCGUCUGAUUAGCUUGUUGGCGGGGUAAAGGCCCACCAAGGCGACGAUCCAGUAGCCGACCUGAGAGGGUGACCGGCCCACAUUGGGACUGAGACACGGCCCAAACUCCUACGGGAGGCAGCAGU